CAGCCUGACACAAGUAAUUAGCUGUCAGGUGCUAGUCUUUGCUGUCAGAGGCCAAUUUUGAGAUUAGUGUUAAUUGCAGGCGGCCUUAACGGCCUUUACUCUCGGCCCAGCAGCCCCUAGCAAGCUGCCCUCCCCAGCCGCUGCUAGUCUCAGUGCAGCUUUCAGUGAUGGGGCUGGCAGAGUGGAAUCAAUUAUGGGCCAGUGAGGAUUUUCCCACAGGUCUCACUUGGAGAUGAACGACUUCUCCUGCUGCCCAGACAGCUGGCCAGACUGUCCACUGGGAAAGAAGCCUGUGGAGGGGAGUGUGGGCCGUGUCAGCCACACUGCUGACAGCCCAUCCGUUAUCCACAGGGCUUGGCAGAGAGAGGCUGAGCCCCUCCGGCCUGUCGUGCACUGCCCUGGCUGCUACAUCCCAUCAUCCAACGGCCCCAGUGAAAGAACAGAGAACAGUCCAUCCGCGGAUGUUACUAAGGGUCAAGAGGAAAGAGGAAGUGGAUGGCCACAGCCUGAUGCUGUCAGACAAGAGCAUGUGGUCCCCUGGAACUGGAGUUACGGAUGGCUGACUCACAGGUUCACACGUUCACAUAUCUGGAAGAUCAGAGAAGUUUCCAAAAAUUUGCCGUCCACAGUGAGUAAGGAGAGCCUCUGGCCUUCAGCUCCACAAGUCCUUUCUUCUCCAAAGUACCAAGACCUUCAAAAUGCCCCACCAUGAGCCUUAGACACAACCUAUGUUCUUCAAGGUCACACAUCUUACUGUUGGGCUCCUAGACACUCAACGAUGCAGGAGGAGGCAUUGCCACCUCAGGGGCACUGAGGUACUCAUACAACAACUUCGUGGGAUUUCGAGAGAGAGUAUUAACUUGUUUUCCUUCUGAGAUCAAAAUCCCCCACCUCGAGAGCUGGCCUACCAUAUAGGUGGAAGGAGAAAUGAUUCAGUUUUGUUUUUCCCCAAAGCUGUCAACUAUUUGAAAUUUUUACUUACUCCAUAUACCUGUUGUGUAUUUAUGAGAUACCAUGUGAUAGUUCAUACUUUUAUGUACUUAUUCUGUUGUGUUUAAUAAAGGGUAAACAUAUCUAUCCCUUCAAAUUUAAAUAUAUUAAAAUAGUAACCUACUGUGCAACCAAGCACAUGAACUUUGUAGUCCUCCUAACUAGGACUUGCGACCUGUUACACAGCCUUUCCCCAUUUCCCCACUUUUCUCCCAGUCUUCCCAGUCUCCAGGAAACACUGUUUGUCUCUCAAUGGCUGUAAGAAGAACGUUUUGAAAGUCCAACCCUGAGUUAUGUGGUUAUGGCUGGCUUAUUUCACUCAACAGAGUGACCUCCAAUUCCUACUGCAUUAUUAUGACUGAUGCCAUUUCCUCCCCCUUUGCGCCUUAACUGUAGACCAUUGUUAACCCAUCACACUUUCCCAUGUGCUCAAAGACUGGUAUUUUAUUCACAAGUAAACAAGUAAAAAUCUACUGAUAUACAAAUACCCCCAUUUUGGUUGUGGUGAUGCAGGCCUAUGGGGGCGGGGCUGGAUACAUGCAAGGGGUAACUGAAGACAGUGAGGCGUUUGGAAGCACACAGUGGGCAUGCGGGAUUUAGAAGCACACAGUGGGUAUUUAUACAGGUGACUUACUCUCUUGGUUUUCUACUAUACAAA